GAUCAUGGCUCAGGAUGAACGCUGGCGGCGUGCCUAACACAUGCAAGUCGAGCGAGAAACCUGCAAUGACGCUCGGUGAUUUGCAGGCGGAAAGCGGCGGACGGGUGAGUAACGCGUAGGCAACCUGCCCUUCACACAGGGAUAGCCUCGGGAAACCGGGAUUAAAACCUGAUGACACCGGGACAUCACAUGUUGAUCCGGUCAAAGAUUUAUCGGUGAAAGGAUGGGCCUGCGUCUGAUUAGUUAGUUGGUGAGGUAACGGCUCACCAAGGCGACGAUCAGUAGCCGACCUGAGAGGGUGAUCGGCCACAUUGGAACUGAGACACGGUCCAAACUCCUACGGGAGGCAGCAGUGGGGAAUAUUGCACAAUGGGGGAAACCCUGAUGCAGCAACGCCGCGUGAGCGAAGAAGGCGGAUUCGUCGUAAAGCUCUGUCCUUGGGGAAGAAGAACUGACGGUACCCUUGGAGGAAGCCCCGGCUAAAUACGUGCCAGCCGCCGC
rnacentral:rRNA from 1 species